rnacentral:rRNA from 1 species
CCUACGGGGGGCUGCAGUGGGGAAUAUUGGACAAUGGGGGCAACCCUGAUCCAGCCAUGCCGCGUGUGUGAAGAAGGCCCUCGGGUUGUAAAGCACUUUCAGUGAGGAAGAACGCCUGGUGGUUAAUACCCAUCAGGAAAGACAUCACUCACAGAAGAAGCACCGGCUAACUCCGUGCCAGCAGCCGCGGUAAUACGGAGGGUGCGAGCGUUAAUCGGAAUUACUGGGCGUAAAGCGCGCGUAGGUGGCUUGAUAAACCGGUUGUGAAAGCCCCGGGCUCAACCUGGGAACGGCAUCCGGAACUGUCAAGCUAGAGUGCAGGAGAGGAAGGUAGAAUUCCCGGUGUAGCGGUGAAAUGCGUAGAGAUCGGGAGGAAUACCAGUGGCGAAGGCGGCCUUCUGGACUGACACUGACACUGAGGUGCGAAAGCGUGGGUAGCAAACAGGAUUAGAUACCCUUGUAGUC